rnacentral:tRNA from 1 species
UGGGGGAUUGGCUCAGUGGCGACGGCGCCUGGCUGUAGACCGGGUAUACCACGCGGAGGUUCGAGUCCUCCAUCCCCCACCAA